AUAACUGCCUUGUGACGGCCGAACGUUCAUAGUGACGUCGCUUUUUGAUCCUUUGAUGUCGGCUCUUCCUAUCAUUUCGAAACAAAGCCCACCAAGCAUUGGAUUGUUCAUCCAUACAAGGAAACGUGAGCUAAACCCAGCGCACCCAACCACCGGGAGAGGGAU
rnacentral:ncRNA from 1 species